rnacentral:tRNA from 1 species
GUGCUGCUGGCCGGAGGGAUCGCGCUGACCUGGUAUGUCCGGAGGGCCUUCUCGGUCCGGGUCGAGGUCCGGUCGCCCCGGUUGCACCCC